GCAAGNUCGACGAGAUCUUCGGGUCUAGUGGCGCACGGGUGCGUAACGCGUGGGAAUCUGCCCUUGGGUUCGGAAUAACGUCGGGAAACUGACGCUAAUACCGGAUGAUGACGAAAGUCCAAAGAUUUAUCGCCCAGGGAUGAGCCCGCGUAGGAUUAGCUAGUUGGUGAGGUAAAGGCUCACCAAGGCUACGAUCCUUAGCUGGUCUGAGAGGAUGAUCAGCCACACUGGGACUGAGACACGGCCCAGACUCCUACGGGAGGCAGCAGUAGGGAAUAUUGGACAAUGGGGGCAACCCUGAUCCAGCAAUGCCGCGUGAGUGAUGAAGGCCUUAGGGUUGUAAAGCUCUUUUACCCGAGAUGAUAAUGACAGUAUCGGGAGAAUAAGCUCCGGCUAACUCCGUGCCAGCAGCCGCGGUAAUACGGAGGGAGCUAGCGUUGUUCGGAAUUACUGGGCGUAAAGCGCACGUAGGCGGCGAUUUAAGUCAGAGGUGAAAGCCCGGGGCUCAACCCCGGAACUGCCUUUGAGACUGGAUUGCUUGAAUCCUGGAGAGGUGAGUGGAAUUCCGAGUGUAGAGGUGAAAUUCGUAGAUAUUCGGAAGAACACCAGUGGCGAANGCGGCUCACUGGACAGGUAUUGACGCUGANGU
rnacentral:rRNA from 1 species